AUUGAACGCUGGCGGCAGGCCUAACACAUGCAAGUCGAACGAGUGGCGGACGGGUGAGUAAUGUCUGGGAAACCCCCUGAUGGAGGGGGAUAACUACUGGCAACGGUAGCUAAUAACGCAUACCAUCGGAUGUGCACAGAUGGGAUUAGCUAGUGGGUGGGGUACUGGCUCAACAAGGCGACGAUCACUAGCUGGUCUGAGAGGAUGACCAGCACGACGGGAACUGAGACACGGUCCAGCCUCCUACGGGAGGCAGCAGUGGGGAUUAGUGCACAAUGGGCGCAAGCCUGAUACAGCCAUGCCGCGUGUAUGAAGAAGGCCUUCGGGUUGUAAAGUACUUUCAGCGGGGAGGCGUUACCCGCAGAAGAAGCACCGGCUAACUCCGUGCCAGCAGCCGCGGUAAUAC
rnacentral:rRNA from 1 species